AGAGUUUGAUCCUGGCUCAGAACGAACGCUAGCGGUAUGCCUCAAACAUGCAAGUCGUACGCGAAAGUUUCUUCGGAAAUGAGUAGAGUGGCGCACGGGUGAGUAACACGUAGCUAACGUACCUUUUCGCUGUGGAUAACUCCUCGAAAGAGGAGCUAAUACAGAAUGGUCUGAAGGAAUCUGCGGAUUCUUUCGGUAAAGUCGCAAGACGCGAAGAGAUCGGGCUGCGCUCCAUUAGCUAGUUGGUAAGGUAACGGCUUACCAAGGCUACGAUGGAUAGCUGGUCUGAGAGGACGGCCAGCCACACUGGAACUGACACACGGUCCAGACUUCCACGGAAGGCAGCAGUUGGGAAUUUUGGACAAUGGGGGAAACCCUGAUCCAGCAAUACCGCGUGAGUGAUGAAGGCCUUCGGGUCGUAAAGCUCUUUUAGUUGGGAAAAAGGGCAACUUGAUGGUACCAACAGAAAAAGCACCGGCUAACUCUGUGCCAGCAGCCGCGGUAAUACAGAGGGUGCAAGCGUUGUUCGGAAUUAUUGGGCGUAAAGCGCGUGUAGGCGGUUUUCUAAGUCUGAUGUGAAAUCCCUUGGCUCAACCAAGGACGUGCAUUGGAUACUGGAUCACUAGAGGACGAGAGAGGUGAAUGGAAUUCCCGGUGUAGGGGUGAAAUCCGUAGAUAUCGGGAGGAACACCAGAGGCGAAGGCGGUUCACUGGCUCGUUACUGAC
rnacentral:rRNA from 1 species